AAAGUGAGGCGUCCUUUGUCACGAUUCA
rnacentral:sRNA from 1 species